CCUACGGGAGGCAGCAGUGAGGAAUAUUGGUCAAUGGGCGCAGGCCUGAACCAGCCAAGUAGCGUGAAGGAUGACUGCCCUAUGGGUUGUAAACUUCUUUUAUAUGGGAAUAAAGUUUUCCACGUGUGGAAUUUUGUAUGUACCAUAUGAAUAAGGAUCGGCUAACUCCGUGCCAGCAGCCGCGGUAAUACGGAGGAUGCGAGCGUUAUCCGGAUUUAUUGGGUUUAAAGGGAGCGCAGACGGGUCGUUAAGUCAGCUGUGAAAGUUUGCGGCUCAACCGUAAAAUUGCAGUUGAUACUGGGUGUCUUGAGUACAGUAGAGGCAGGCGGAAUUCGUGGUGUAGCGGUGAAAUGCUUAGAUAUCACGAAGAACUCCGAUUGCGAAGGCAGCCUGCUGGACUGUAACUGACGCUGAUGCUCGAAAG
rnacentral:rRNA from 1 species